rnacentral:rRNA from 1 species
UGGGGAAUAUUGCACAAUGGGCGCAAGCCUGAUGCAGCCAUGCCGCGUGUGUGAAGAAGGCCUUCGGGUUGUAAAGCACUUUCAGCGAGGAGGAAGGGUAGUGUGUUAAUAGCACAUUGCAUUGACGUUACUCGCAGAAGAAGCACCGGCUAACUCCGUGCCAGCAGCCGCGGUAAUACGGAGGGUGCAAGCGUUAAUCGGAAUUACUGGGCGUAAAGCGCACGCAGGCGGCUUGUUAAGUCAGAUGUGAAAUCCCCGCGCUUAACGUGGGAACUGCAUUUGAAACUGGCAAGCUAGAGUCUUGUAGAGGGGGGUAGAAUUCCAGGUGUAGCGGUGAAAUGCGUAGAGAUCUGGAGGAAUACCGGUGGCGAAGGCGGCCCCCCUGGACAAAGACCUGACGCUCAGGUGC